CCUCCUAGCCCACCAGAGCCACGGCAUCUCGCCGGAGUUCGCCUCUGUUCGCCUCGGCCGCCGCGGUUCCUCCUUGGUUCCAGCGAGCUCGAGCAUCCCCCACCUCCCCUGGUGUUGUCCUCGAUCUCCCCCACCUCUUCGCAGUUCGCGCAAACCCCUUGCCCCUCGCCUGAGAGUUCCGUGGCCGCGUCGCCCUAGUCUGGCCGUCGUCUCCGUCGUUCGGCCACCGCAUCCUCCAGCCGUCUCGAGCCUCCUCGUGCCUCCCCGACCUCACCACGGCCUCCCCCUAGUCCUCGCGAGCCGCCCCGACUCCUCAGCCCUCGCCGGAGCGCCCUGCUCUGACGAACACCACCUCCGCCGAGCCGCCUCUGCCCUCCCAUGGCGCCGCCUCUCCCCUCCAGCCCUCUCCUCCCCGGCGGCCGUGCUCCCUUUUAACGGGUGCGGCGCAGCCCCGCGGUCCCGCCGGUACCCUCGGCCGGGCCGGGGAUCGCCGGAGCCGGCCGGCCCCUUGGUCGCUUCCUUCCCCUGCCCCGCUCUGUUCCACGGGAGGAAUAGAGGCGCGGGAGGAAGAGGACGACCUCGCUGGCCCCCUCCCCCUGCCCCUGGGUCCCACGCGCCAGUGUCCCAGGCGCCUCAGCCCACGUGGAUAAGUGGAGACGGGUUUAACCUGGUUUUUCCUCCCAGGGACCCGUUGGUGAUGAAAAUAUUCACAGAUUGGUCCCUGAUCUUCUACAUCUCAUAACUCCGCAACCGUAACUCCGUUUAAGCCCCCUCCGAGAGAGAACUGUUUCCGGCAAAUCUUUCCGCGGCUUCACCGCACUUCUCCCCGGUGCCUCUUCAUCCCAGGCAAGCCACAAUACCCAAUUGCAUGAUAUUCAUGCAGUAGCCAUGGUUUUCAACUUGAAUCUUUACUAAAUGUUUGCUUGUUGAAAAGAUGGUUAUCGCUGUUCUGGUAAUGUUUAGAGUUGCAUGUUCACUUUUGUGCUAUGUUGUCUUGUACUCUGUUAUCAUGUUCUACCUGCUAGUAUCUCCUUUCAUAUGUUUAUGAUUGCUAGUGGUACAUGUUGAUGUUGGUGAUGGUCAUGCUAGUCAAUAUGCCAUGCUAAGUGGAUAUGAUUUAUUAUUGAUAUGGUGGAUAGUUAUGCGAUACCCUCAUGAUUAUGUUGAUA